rnacentral:lncRNA from 1 species
AAAGUUUUGUAGUUUGAAACCUCUAUACUCUGGGUAUAGAGAUUUUUGAAGAGAAGAACUGAAUAAAGAUGGGUAAAAUAAAUGAUAAGAGAUUUAAGACGACAAGAAGAGGGGCUUAGCUCAGGAAAAAAAAUUUAAAGGGCAGAGAGACACUAAAUCUCAAGUGAGUAUUCGGGCUAGCUUCAAUAUACCGAAUAUUGGCUUUGGAGAUAUGAGAAGAAAAUUUGGUAAUGAAAUGAUAGUAACUAGGAAGAAAAUGAGACUAUUAAUACAAAAAUGGAAGGAAAAUAGAUAAGAAUGCUAGAGAUAAAAUAAUAUCGAGUUACAACAAAGAAAGAAGAAGAAAAAAGGGCGCCAACUCGAACGAACAACUCGGCUCUCAGAACCAAGAAGUUGGACAGGUUCGAGAUUUUGAAGUAACGAACAAUGGGAACUCUAUGACACUGGUUACAACCACCUGAAAUACAAAAUACUAAAUACUGAUCUUGUCUUGCUAUGUUAUAUACUGGUAAUACAGACUGAAAUAAAACACCAACCUUAAUACAUACAAAUAUAUUAAUGAUAAAUGUUAUAUACUAACAAUUUACAUAUAACGCAACGUGAUAACAGUGAUAGUGGAUGGGGAGAAGAUCAAAUAGGACCGCAAAGGCCACUUAACAAGCAAUUAUCCACUAUCACUGGCCAAGCAAAAGUAUUAAAAUCAAAAUCCAAAUCAAAAGUCCGUUGGAAUAGCACUAAGUCCUUACAACUAAAAAGUUAGUAAUUAUUUCCUAAAUUGAACUACGCUAGAGUGAUAUCCACAACAAGAACGCUACGGUUACCAAAAAUAAUAAAGAUCUCACCUAGGCAAAAACACUAAUAAGUAAAUAUAUAAUGAGUUAUAUAAAUGAGUUGUAUAAAUGAGUUAUAUAAAUGAGUUCUAUAAAUGAGUGAUAUAAAUGAGUUGUAUAAAUGAGUUGGUCAGUUACUCUUUAUAUACAAUGUAAAAACCUACAAGACAUAUUCCCUAUUUGAAAUCCGCGACAAAUCUUUAACGACCCCUUUCCUAUCAAAUUUUUAAGCUACAAUUAUUAUUUAUAAUGAUUAUUGAACACGACCUAAUUUUAUUUAUUGGAAACUACUACUUAUAUUAAAUCAAAAAAAAA